rnacentral:rRNA from 1 species
AGGUCCCAAAAUAUAUGUUAAGUGGAAAAGGAUGUGGCGUUGCCCAGACAACUAGGAUGUUGGCUUAGAAGCAGCCAUCAUUUAAAGAGUGCGUAAUAGCUCACUAGUCGAGUGACACUGCGCCGAAAAUGUACCGGGGCUAAACAUAUUACCGAAGCUGUGGAUUGUCCUUUGGACAAUGGUAGGAGAGCGUUCUAAGGGCGUUGAAGCAUGAUCGUAAGGACAUGUGGAGCGCUUAGAAGUGAGAAUGCCGGUGUGAGUAGCGAAAGACGGGUGAGAAUCCCGUCCACCGAUUGACUAAGGUUUCCAGAGGAAGGCUCGUCCGCUCUGGGUUAGUCGGGUCCUAAGCUGAGGCCGACAGGCGUAGGCGAUGGAUAACAGGUUGAUAUUCCUGUACCACCUAUAAUCGUUUUA